rnacentral:misc_RNA from 1 species
AGUAAGAAGUGCAUCAGAGAUCUUUGAUACUUUUUAUUUCUCAAACAAAAUAGAAUGCUAUGUAGAAUACGCAAAAGCUAAUUCUUUAGUACGCACCUGAAAGAAUGCCAUUUUGCAAUUCACAUGCUGAAACACCAAUUUCAAUGAUGAAAACGUCAUAUACUCAAAAUCAUCUUAUAGUUAAAAAGUUUAAUCAAUAAAUUUUUGGAUAUUGAUGGUCAAAAGAAUGAGUUCUCUCCUUAUUCUGUAAUUUAGUAAAUGUAUGGUUUUUG